CGCUGGCGGCAUGCUUUACACAUGCAAGUCGAACGGUAACAGGUCUUCGGAUGCUGACGAGUGGCGAACGGGUGAGUAACACAUCGGAACGUGCCUAGUAGUGGGGGAUAACUACUCGAAAGAGUAGCUAAUACCGCAUGAGAUCUACGGAUGAAAGCAGGGGACCUUCGGGCCUUGUGCUACUAGAGCGGCUGAUGGCAGAUUAGGUAGUUGGUGGGGUAAAGGCUUACCAAGCCUGCGAUCUGUAGCUGGUCUGAGAGGACGACCAGCCACACUGGGACUGAGACACGGCCCAGACUCCUACGGGAGGCAGCAGUGGGGAAUUUUGGACAAUGGGCGAAAGCCUGAUCCAGCAAUGCCGCGUGCAGGAUGAAGGCCCUCGGGUUGUAAACUGCUUUUGUACGGAACGAAAAGCUCUGGGCUAAUACCCCGGAGUCAUGACGGUACCGUAAGAAUAAGCACCGGCUAACUACGUGCCAGCAGCCGCGGUAAUACGUAGGGUGCAAGCGUUAAUCGGAAUUACUGGGCGUAAAGCGUGCGCAGGCGGUUUUGUAAGACAGUGGUGAAAUCCCCGGGCUCAACCUGGGAACUGCCAUUGUGACUGCAAAGCUAGAGUGCGGCAGAGGGGGAUGGAAUUCCGCGUGUAGCAGUGAAAUGCGUAGAUAUGCGGAGGAACACCGAUGGCGAAGGCAAUCCCCUGGGCCUGCACUGACGCUC
rnacentral:rRNA from 1 species